UACGACGGGUGCUAGCGUUGUUCGGAAUUAUUGGGCGUAAAGGGUGCGUAGGCGGUUUGGUAAGUCUUAUGUGAAAUCUACAGGCUCAACUUGUAGUCUGCAUGAGAAACUGCCGGGCUUGAGUAUGGGAGAGGUGAGUGGAAUUCCUGGUGUAGCGGUGAAAUGCGUAGAUAUCAGGAGGAACACCUGUGGCGAAAGCGGCUCACUGGACCAUAACUGACGCUGAUGCACGAAAGCUAGGGGAGCAAACAGG
rnacentral:rRNA from 1 species